AUCCCUGUGGCGCAAAGGAUAGCACGUUGGACUUUUAAUCCAAAGGUCGUGGGUUCGAAUCCCACCCGGAAUA